UUUUAAAUGGCCGCAGUAUUUUGACUGUGCAAAGGUAGCAUAAUCAUUAGUUUUUUAAUUAAAAGCUUGUAUGAAAGGCUGGACGAGGUAAAAUCUGUCUCUAUUUAAAUUAUAGUAGAAUUUAACUUUUAAGUUAAAAGGCUUAAAUAUUAUUAAAAGACGAGAAGACCCUAUAGAUCUUUAUAGUUUAUUAAAUUAAAUUAAUUUAGAAAUAUUAAUAUUUUAUUUAAUUAAGUUAUUUUAUUGGGGUAAUAAAAAGAUUGAAUUAAUUCUUUUUUAUAAUAAACAUUAAUUUAUGAAUAUUAAUGAUCCAGUUUUACUGAUUAUAAGAUUAAGUUACCUUAGGGAUAACAGCGUAAUUUUUUUAGAGAGUUCAUAUCGAUAAAAAAGUUUGCGACCUCGAUGUUGGAUUAAAGAUUAUUUUAGGUGUAGAAGCUUAAUAAUUUUGGUCUGUUCGACCAUUAAAUCUUUACAUGAUCUGAGUUCAGACCGGCGUAAGCCAGGUCGGUUUCUAUCUUUAAUAAAAUAAAAUAUUUUAGUACGAAAGGACCAAAUAUUUGAUAUAUUUAUAUUUAAUUUAUUGAAUAUUA
rnacentral:rRNA from 1 species